rnacentral:rRNA from 1 species
AUUGAACGCUGGCGGCAUGCCUUACACAUGCAAGUCGAACGGCAGCAUAGGAGCUUGCUCCUGAUGGCGAGUGGCGAACGGGUGAGUAAUAUAUCGGAACGUGCCCUAGAGUGGGGGAUAACUAGUCGAAAGAUUAGCUAAUACCGCAUACGAUCUACGGAUGAAAGUGGGGGAUCGCAAGACCUCAUGCUCCUGGAGCGGCCGAUAUCUGAUUAGCUAGUUGGGGAGGUAAAAGCUCACCAAGGCGACGAUCAGUAGCUGGUCUGAGAGGACGACCAGCCACACUGGGACUGAGACACGGCCCAGACUCCUACGGGAGGCAGCAGUGGGGAAUUUUGGACAAUGGGGGCAACCCUGAUCCAGCAAUGCCGCGUGAGUGAAGAAGGCCUUCGGGUUGUAAAGCUCUUUUGUCAGGGAAGAAACGGUUUUGGCUAAUAUCCAGAGCUAAUGACGGUACCUGAAGAAUAAGCACCGGCUAACUACGUGCCAGCCGCCGCAGUAACAC